GGACAUACAUUCUUAGUGUUUAUCUAUACACUUGUUCUCUUUUCAUUUAGCAUUAAUAUUCCCAUUCAUGCUUCUACAAAUGCUGAUGCAAAGCAAUAUAGGAGGUUAUAUCCAAUGAUGUAAUUUGAAGUGGCAAAGCAAUACCCAGAUGUAACUUGACCUCCAUAAACCAUUUCAGCCUUUGUAUUUAAAGUAGUCAUCAUCAUAAAUCUCCCUCCUGCAAUCCCAGUUAUUACAGCUGCAUGCAGAAGAGGGCUCUCUAUCCCAGUGCUUGUGUUUUGGUAUCUGACAUACGUAUUCCAUCAUUCUGGACUCCCUGCAGUGCUGUUUCCCUGGCUGCAUUCCCAGGAUCCUGUGCUGCAUCAUCUGUACAGGUUUUCUUCUCCCUGCGUGGCUCCUCCCAAGAAUCAUGCCUCUUUAUUGGCUCGUGAAUCCCAAAUUCCUUUGGAUCCAGCUAGUCACUAUUAAAUUUGAGGAUUUACACAUUGAUUAACAGCAGAAUGGGAUCUGUCUUUGGGUUACUAUGGAACAUCUGGGCUGUUACAAGGCACAUCAUUUUCUUCCAAGGGUACAUAAAGGUUUGUUGAUAUUUUUUUUUUUUUUUUUAAUUUUUUUUACAUAAACCUCUCUCUCGUUAGUAACAUUGUUCUGUCACACAGCCAAAACCUGCAGAGGCUGUGACAAAUAGCGAGGUCAUGGUCAAAUUUAAUACGAGCUCACAUUCCCUUGGAAAUGCCACCAGGGAGCAGACAAAAGCAAGCAUUUGCUGAGCUCCUGAGGGAAAGCACAGCGUUUGCACUGAGGCCCUUGGUAUGCAGAUGGUGUCGCUGCCUUUCGAAACGAGCUGAGGUUUUUGUGAAGUGGGUUAAGAGAUAAAACACUGCUCCAACAAUGAAAAAUGAAAAUGGGGAAGACUGUUCAAAAAUAACUGAAAGGCAAGGAGAAAACAGUUUGCAGGAGUGGUCUACUGGCAACUUUCUGGGAAGAAAUCUCUGGUGACACAAGUCCACUCUAAGUGCCUACUCAAGAAACCCAUGGAACACAUGCACAAGCAGCAACUACGGUGCCUUUCCUACUCCCUUUCUUCAAGGAAACCCCUUUGAUGAUUUUGCAUUUGCAGCUGGAUGACAAUUUGAAGGCAUUAGCUGUCAUUAGGAAGAAAUCUCUCCACAAUUAACACUAAAUUUAAUAAAUAAUCGUAUCAGAUUUCCUGAUUAGUGUCCUCAGUAGCAUUCCUUCAGAGAUGCUGCCUCAACCACACGGCACAACCUGCCUGGAGCACUGAAAU